AUGGCGGUGAUUUUGAGAUUUCUAGAUGAUCAUGGAGUGUUCCAAGAGAGAUUCCUUGCGAUUAAGCACAUCACAUAUUGCACAUCUGCUAGAAUUAAAGAAGCUUUAGUUGAUGUGUUGGAAUAUCAUGGUUUGUCAAUUUCCACGCUACGUGGUCAGGGUUAUGAUGGGGCUUCAAAUAUGAGAGGGGAGUUCAAUGGUUUGCAAAAAUUGGUUAGAGAUGAAGCAUCGUAUGCAUUCUAUGCUUUGCUCACCAAUUACAAUUGGUGGUUGUCACCGUUGCUCAAUGUAGUCCUGCUAUUGCUGAUUUCUUCAAUUAUAUUCCCUUGA
rnacentral:rRNA from 1 species